rnacentral:rRNA from 1 species
GAGUUUGAUCAUGGCUCAGGAUGAACGCUAGCGGCAGGCUUAACACAUGCAAGUCGAGGGGCAGCAGGGGUAGCAAUACUCGCUGGCGACCGGCAAACGGGUGCGGAACACGUACAGAAUCUACCGUUACCUGGGGCAUAGCCCGAAGAAAUUCGGAUUAACUCCCCGUAAGAUAUCAUAAUGGCAUCAUUGAGAUAUUAAAAUUUAUUGGGUAAUGAUGACUGUGCGUCCCAUUAGCUAGUUGGUAGGGUAACGGCCUACCAAGGCGACGAUGGGUAGCUGGUGUGAGAGCACGACCAGCCACACGGGCACUGAGACACGGGCCCGACUCCUACGGGAGGCAGCAGUGAGGAAUAUUGGUCAAUGGACGCAAGUCUGAACCAGCCAUGCCGCGUGAAGGAUGAAGGCCUUCUGGGUUGUAAACUUCUUUUAUUGGGGAAGAAAAUUACGGUUUCUACUGUAACCGACGGUACCCAAGGAAUCAGCACCGGCUAACUCCGUGCCAGCCGCCGC